GCAAAAUUGCUCAGUCGGCAGAGCAUGAGACUUUUAAUCUCAGGGUUGAGGGUUCAAGUCCCACGUUGGGCG